rnacentral:rRNA from 1 species
GAUGAACGCUGGCGGCGUGCUUAACACAUGCAAGUCGAACGGAAAGGCCCUGCUUUUGUGGGGCGCUCGAGUGGCGAACGGGUGAGUAACACGUGAGUAACCUGCCCUUGACUUUGGGAUAACUUCAGGAAACUGGGGCUAAUACCGGAUAGGAGCUCCUGCUGCAUGGGGGGGGUUGGAAAGUUUCGGCGGUGGGGGAUGGACUCGCGGCUUAUCAGCUUGUUGGUGGGGUAGUGGCUUACCAAGGCUUUGACGGGUAGCCGGCAUGGGAGGUUGACCGGCCACAUUGGGACUGAGGUACGCCCCAGACUCCUACGGGAGGCAGCAGUGGGAAAUAUUGCACAGUGGGCGGAAGCCUGAUGCGGCGACGCCGCGUGCGGAAUGACGGCCUUCGGGUUGUAAACCGCUUUCGCCUGUGACGAGGCGUGAGUGACGGUAAUGGGUAAAGAAGCACCGGCUAACUACGUG